rnacentral:rRNA from 4 species
UCUGGUGACAAUGGCAAGGAGGUCACACCUGUUCCCAUGCCGAACACAGAAGUUAAGCUCCUUAGCGCCGAUGGUAGUCG